CAUGCAUAAUUUUGUUAUGUUCCAUCAUUUUGAGUAUGAUUUUGUCAUCCGUGCUAGAAUUGAGAAUCAUAUCAUAUUUGCAUUCAAGAAUUAAGUUGUUUUGAAGCUAAUCUCCAUGUUUUGUUAACCUUGGAAAAGACUAGGAAGUUAAUUGAUAUAUGCACGGGAGUUUGGGUUCCAAUUAUGAAGUCUUAAACUUCAAUUUCGCAAAAUCAUGAAGUUUUUGAACAAAGGAUUCAGUUUUGGCCACGUAAUCAUGUUUUGGAAGGGUUUCUAUGGUUUUGGAUUGCAUCAUGCAUGAAUCCAUACUUUAAACUGUGUUUUGAAAUUCAACUCUGUUCUGGAAAUUUCAGAAUUCUGUCUCACCGCUCGAGCGAACAAUCUGUCGCUCGAGCACACAUCUUAUGCAUCUAGUAAUUUCGUUGAGUUUUAUUGUUGGCUCGAGCGACCAAGUUGACGCUCGAGCAAUCUUAGUUCAUUUUGGUGCCUUGGCUCGAGCGAUCGUCGAGUCUAGAUUCGGACUAUUCAGUACUUUUGUAGACCAAGUGGUCCGCUCGAGCGAAGUAUCCUGUUUUAGCAUAUUUUGAAAAGUUGUGUUUUUAUCUAUUUUGACAUUCUCAUCCUUUUCUAAACAUUCUUAGGCAUGAAUUGAGUCUCCUAAAUGAAUCUUUAAGUUAGAAUGAGACUUAAAAGAAUUGAAUAAGUUAAAGAACAAUCCGGUUAAGCAAAGUAAUUCAAUAUGUGUAUGUUCAUGAAUUGUGUAGGAUCAUCUGCGAAGACGUGUCAGCAACUGAAUCAUUGUGAGCAACGGGAUGUCCAGCCCUAGUAAAGCUGUGAAAGGAUUAUCAAGUUUUGUGGAGUCAGCCAAGGAUGCCUCACGCACGAGACUUUUGUCGUUUGUUUUGUUUUUAUUGGUCAUGCUUGACCAUCUUUUGUUUAUAAGAAGUUUAAGUUAUGUAAGAUCAUGGAUAAUACUUUUGUGUUUAAGUCUUUGUAUCUCCAGUCUGAAAUGAAUGUUUAAACAAGGUGUGUUGUAUGAUUGUGAGUUAUUAACGUAUAAGAUAUUUCUGUAUAUGCCAUAUAUGCACAAUUCAUUAGACACAAUUUAUUAUUCA